UGGGGAAUUUUGCACAAUGGGGGAAACCCUGAUGCAGCGACGCCGCGUGAUUUAGAAGGCCUUCGGGUUGUAAAAAUCUUUUCUAUGGGAAGAAAAUGACAGUACCAUAGGAAUAAGGACCGGCUAAUUACGUGCCAGCAGCCGCGGUAAUACGUAAGGUCCGAGCGUUGUCCGGAAUCAUUGGGCGUAAAGGGUACGUAGGCGGGUAAGCAAGUUAGAAGUGAAAACCUAUAGCUCAACUAUAGUAAGCUUUUAAAACUGCUCAUCUUGAGGUAUGGAAGGGAAAGUGGAAUUCCUAGUGUAGCGGUGAAAUGCGCAGAUAUUAGGAGGAAUACCGGUGGCGAAGGCGACUUUCUGGCCAUAACCUGACGCUGAGGUACGAAAGCGUGGGUAGCAAACAGG
rnacentral:rRNA from 1 species